AGCUGAAAAUGUAAAAUAUUAGUGGCAGGGAUAGAAUUGGAUCUCAUUCCUAGUCCAGAGCUCUAUUUACUGCUUCACUUAAUAUGUUUUAAAAUGAAUUUGAAAAUUGUAUAAUUAAAGAAGCAACUUUCAAAUUAAAAAAAAAUUUUUAUAGUUAGACAUUAAUAGUCUCAGACUAUAAUCAAUUCUUUGUGUAAACUAUACAUGCAUACAUAGAUUUUAAUAUUGUCAUCUAGAACAUUUGUUUUUAAUUAAUUUAACAGGUAUUAAAAUUACUCCUCUGUGUACAGUAGAUGGAAAGAAGACAGCACUGAAUUUGGCUCUGAACUUCUUGACAGCCGAGGCAAAAAUUAGAAGCAUAGUACUUAUGCAUUCUUCAGCCAGCCAACAAGCCUGCAAGUUUAUCCAGAGACAGAAAUGCUUUUUUUAGUACUAAUAGCAAUCUUUUACAUUCUUUCGAGUAUAAAAUAGUGGCAUUAUUUGUUGUUUCAUUUUAAAUUUAUGUAAGGAACUACUUCACUUAGGCAUAUUUUAGUUCCUAUUGGUAAAAUUAAAGACAAAUCGUGCUUGGUGACAAAACUUAGAGAUUCUAAAAAUCUCUAGUUGAGAGAUUCUUUUUCAACCCUUACUUAAGUCCACCAAAAUCACCUGGUGUACAGGGAAUUCCAACUCAAUUCCUGCUGAAUUUCAGUUCCAUGGAAGGUUUUUAUACCUAGACUGAUGAGGGAUACUGGUCUGUAAUUUUCUUUUUCUUUUCUUUUUUUUUUUUUUUUUUGCAAAGUGAAAGCAAGUUUAUUAAGAAAGUAAAGGAAU
rnacentral:lncRNA from 10 species